ACACUCUUGUACUUGGUCUUCUUUGCCAGCAUCUGAUCCGAAGAAAUGACGCCAUCUGUCGUCAAAGUUAUAAGCAUCUGUAGUGGCCAGCUUCGAUAAUGCACCGGCGGUGGAAUUGUUAUUGUGAUCGACUCCUUGAUAGCAUGUUGUACUGAUGUCUGAAAUAGAAUAUCCAUCUGCAUGCAAUGUCCAUGAACUCUGCUUCUGCUGAAGAACUGCAACGGCUUUGUCGGACUCCUCAGCUUCUCUUUAACUAUU
rnacentral:lncRNA from 1 species